GAUUGACUCUCUCUCUCUUAUCUCUCUAAACCUUUUAGAGAGAGAGAUUUUGAUCGGUGGUUUUGGCCGUCCGGCUUGCCUUGCCGGCUUAUGGAUCCGGACGUGGUCCGGUUUUGUCGUCCCAUCUCGCCGUCCGGUGUAUCCGGCUUUGCUCACGGCUAUUCCGUUGCCAUUGUUGUUGUUUCACCGAAUUGAUUUGGGAAACACUUUGAUCUCAAAUUUCUUCUUCUUUUUUCUAACUGGAAAUUUCCAUGGCCUAUUCUCGAUCCAUCCCACCACCAUCCUCAAUCAUGUAAGUGUUUUGGUGUUUCGGUUAGGCGACUGUUUUAGUCUCAUCCACAUGAAUCAAAAUCCAGAUCUGGGAGAAUUCUGGGUUGCUUGGCUCCUUCCAACCGUAUCUUUGUCGAUUCUGUUCGACUUUAACGGCCCGGCGUUUUUGACGUUUUCAAUCGCCUCAUUUGAGGUCCGUCUUGCCAUUAUAGGAAGUCAAGGUAUCAAUUUCCGAAGUCUAUUUUUUAUAUCAAGUGAUGACAAGAGUUCAGAAGCUUCACCUCGUGGUUGAUUGUUUUCCGGCGACUUCUUUCAUGCUUUUGUUCUCGGAAAAGAUCCAGUGAUGGGAAGAGAAAAGAAUUUGAAGAUUAAAUUGAAUCCUUUAUCUUUUUCGGUUUAAUAGUUUGUUUGUUUUGAUAAUCCGGAGAUGUUUUCGGUUGUUCAUUCGCCGGAAAUUGUGCCGGCUUCUGUCUGCAUAUUCUCGCUGAAAAGUUGUGGGUACCGGUUUACUAGGUUAUCCGGUUCACCCGGUUUGUAAGAUCGGUUUAAUAAAUAAAUAUCCUUUUGUGAAAAAAAAAAAACAUAAUCUGCCCAAUAGUAAAACAAUAUGCAGAAUACUAAUAGUCAUAAAACAUAAAAAAUCAUUAAAUUUUGCAUUGAAAACCUAAAACGAC
rnacentral:lncRNA from 1 species